UUGAUCAAUGGGGGAAACCCUGACGCAGCGACGCCGCGUGUAGGAAGAAGGCCUUCGGGUCGUAAACUACUGUCAAGAGGGAAGAAACUGUUAAAGUACAAUAUGCUCUUUCACUGACGGUACCUCUAGAGGAAGCACCGGCUAACUCCGUGCCAGCAGCCGCGGUAAUACGGAGGGUGCGAGCGUUAAUCGGAAUCACUGGGCGUAAAGCGUGCGUAGGCUGCGCUGCAAGUCAGACGUGAAAGCCCUCGGCUCAACCGAGGAAUUGCGUUUGAAACUGCCAUGCUAGAGUCUCGGAGAGGUUGGCGGAAUUCCAGGUGUAGGAGUGAAAUCCGUAGAUAUCUGGAGGAACACCGGUGGCGAAGGCGGCCAACUGGACGAGUACUGACGCUGAGGUACGAAAGCGUGGGGAGCAAACAGGAUUAGAUACCCUGGUAGUCCACGCUGUAAACGAUGGAUAUUAGGUGUCGGGGUUAUAACUUGGUGGCC
rnacentral:rRNA from 1 species